rnacentral:rRNA from 1 species
CUAGCUGGUCUGAGAGGAUGACCAGCCACACUGGAACUGAGACACGGUCCAGACUCCUACGGGAGGCAGCAGUGGGGAAUAUUGCACAAUGGGCGCAAGCCUGAUGCAGCCAUGCCGCGUGUAUGAAGAAGGCCUUCGGGUUGUAAAGUACUUUCAGCGGGGAGGAAGGGAGUAAAGUUAAUACCUUUGCUCAUUGACGUUACCCGCAGAAGAAGCACCGGCUAACUCCGUGCCAGCAGCCGCGGUAAUACGGAGGGUGCAAGCGUUAAUCGGAAUUACUGGGCGUAAAGCGCACGCAGGCGGUUUGUUAAGUCAGAUGUGAAAUCCCCGGGCUCAACC